rnacentral:tRNA from 1 species
GGGCCCGUAGCUCAGCUGGGAGAGCGCCAGGUUCGCAAUCUGGAAGUCGAGGGUUCGAUCCCCUUCGGGUCCACCA